CAGUCACUUGCAUUUGGGAUGGCUUAUCAAUUUCUAGGAAAAAAACAAAAACCAAAGAGAAGUCAAGAAAGCCUGUCAGAGGACCAGGCCACUUGGAGAAAAAGAUAGCAAGAAGUUCCCAUUAUUUGUGAACAGAUGACCUUGGAGUUCAAGAAAUCAAUGCAAUUAAACCAGAAUUUUAUUUCUGGUAGAAAUGUGAUCCACACACAAAGCACGUUCAAAACGGUCAUUCUGCUGCUUUAUUUACAUCUACCUUCAACUUCAAGCUCAUUUUACAGAUGAGGAAACUGAGGCAAACAGAGGUUA